AUGAACAGUAUGAACAUGUGGCACUGGGGAGGCAUAUCCUGCUUGACUGAAUGCCAAAGGGGGCAGGACUUCAUGGGUCCUGAAAUACAGCCUGGCCAGGUGCCCAGCUUUGUUCUCUGGGAGAGUUUUGCUCAGUAUGGUGCUCUUUUUCCUUCUUCAUCUGAUGUCCUUCCUCCAGGUGUUCCGGUUUGCUGCAUUAUCUGUGGACCCUCUGCCAGUCCCCACGCUCUCCACGGACCCCAGUUAUCAGCUGCCUGGCUCCAGCUCACAGCUGCAAAAGCGUCCAGUGGAGAGUACACUUGCAUGUACUGGGUGGAGGAUUCUGGACAAGAAAUCUCUUCCAAUAGGAGCCUUCCUCUUUCAGUUAAGGUGCAGGAUGCUCCCAUGGCUCCAAUUUUGUCCCUGGAUCCUCAGCAACAGGUCUACAUAUCUGGGGACUAUGUCAAGCUGCUCUGCUCUGUCCCCUCAUCUCCAGACUAUGUUAGAGAAAUCCAGUACUACGGGGACUUUGGACUUGCAAUCUCUAUCCCAGUAUCAAACAUUAAAAACUACAGUUACAAUCUCAGGAUCACAGGAGAGGAGGUCUCUGGGUCUUACAGUUGUGCCUAUUUUGUAUUUUGGUCUAGACGUGCUGUUCGCUCAGAGAAGAGUCGCUGGGUCCAUGUCUAUGUGAAAAGCAAGAAAAUCAGCUGGAUCCGAGAGAUUGUUGUGGGUGGCUCAUUCUUUACCAUCAAUGGCCUCAUCUUUUUCUUCUCCCACUGUCUGAUGAAGAGAAGAGGUAAAUACUGUAUUUUCAUUAGGACACACUGA
ensembl:lncRNA